CAUAACACUUUUGUGGAGAGCUAGCAAUGUCUUUUCUCUCCUCCCAAAUGUAAUCCACCACACUAAUAUCAUUAGCACUAGGAAACAUGGCCUCAAGCAAAUUUUGACAAUAAAAAGUUAUCUUCCUAGCAUCACCUUCUCUUGGCGCAAGUGUCUUUCUAGCCAUAGAAUGGGAUCAUGCUAUGUGUCUCUCCAUAGUUGACCAGUUGAGGUGUGAGAUACAUUCCGGACAUUGCACCUUUUGAGAGUGUUUUACUAAUGUGAAUCCUCACAAGGUCUAAAUCAUCCGUACUAAAACCAAGGAUUGUCGCAAAGUCCCUUAUGGAUAAUCCAUACCAAUUUCCUU
rnacentral:lncRNA from 1 species